AGCAGCCGCGGUAAUUCCAGCUCCAAUAGCGUAUAUUAAAGUUGUUGCAGUUAAAAAGCUCGUAGUUGAAUUUCGGGAUCAAGUCGUCGGUCGUGCUCAAGUACGUACUGGCGUCAUUGAUUUCUCCCUUCUGACGAACCAUGAUGUCAUUAAUUUGGUGUUAUGGGAAAUCAGGACUGUUACUUUGAAAAAUUAGAGUGUUUAAAGCAGGCUCACGCUUGAAUACAUUAGCAUGGAAUAAUGAAAUAGGACGUUCGAUCCUAUUUUGUUGGUUUUAGGAUCAACGUAAUGAUUAAUAGGGAUAGUUGGGGGCAUUAGUAUUCAAUUGUCAGAGGUGAAAUUCUUGGAUUUAUUGAAGACUAACUACUGCGAAAGCAUUUGCCAAGGAUGUUUUCAUUAAUCAAGAACGAAAGUUAGGGGAUCGAAGACGAUCAGAUACCGUCGUAGUCUUAACCAUAAACUAUGCCGACUAGGGAUCGGAUGAUGUUAAUUUUUAAUGUACUCAUUCGGCGCCUUAAC
rnacentral:rRNA from 1 species